AGGUGGCGGCGGCGCCAUCUUGGCGAAGGGGGGAUCAGGAAGUGCGGACCGCGGCGGCGGCGGCGGCGGAGCCCGGAGCGGAGGCCGGAGGCUCCCGGCCCGCCGGCCCCGGAGCGGAGCGGAGCGGAGCGGAGGAUGCAGCAGCCGCAGCCGCAGGGGCAGCAGCAGCCGGGGCCGGGGCAGCAGCUGGGGGGCCAGGGGGCGGCGCCGGGGGCCGGGGGCGGCCCAGGGGGGGGCCCGGGGCCGGGGCCCUGCCUGAGGCGGGAGCUGAAGCUGCUAGAGUCCAUCUUCCACCGCGGCCACGAGCGCUUCCGCAUUGCCAGCGCCUGCCUGGACGAGCUGAGCUGCGAGUUCCUGCUGGCUGGGGCCGGAGGGGCCGGGGCCGGGGCGGGGGCCGCGCCCGGACCGCAUCUGCCCCCACGGGGGUCGGUGCCCGGGGAUCCCGUCCGCAUCCACUGCAACAUCACGGUGAGGACCCUCUCGCGUGCGCCUCUCGGGGGCCCCUGGUCAGGACUCAGGAUCACCCCACACAGCUUUUUGCUCUCGAAGGACCUGGGAGGCCGAAGCCCCUUCUCGAGUCUCUGUCCUCUCUAGUUUACACUUGUUUCUGCAGCUUGAGGUUCUUCUAGGCACUCAGACCUCUACUAAUGAUUCCUGAUAGCAAGGGACACCUCGACAUAUGGCGCCUGGACUCCCCCUUCCACGAACCCACCCACAUCCCAAGGUUCAAGAUUUGGGCUCUUUUUGGCUACUCCUCUACAACUUUACCUUUCACCUGGGAAUGCCCCUUCCCCCCUCCCCAUUCUAAUUACUAGGUUCCAGGCCUCUGCACUGACCCCAGCUGGAAAGACCUCGCUUGGAACUCUGCACAUGUCAGUGAUGACCCCUCUCAGUAGUUCCUUUGACUCAGAUGUUUGCCACCUGUGGGAUCCCUGUCCAGUCAUCCCUCUUGCAGACCCUCUUUGCUUUCUGAAUUUCACCAAGUGAUAGUUUGCAGUACAUUGAUUCCUCUUCCUUUACUCCUUUGAAUACCCUUUUAUUUUGGUGUAACCUCUAACACUCCCCUUUUGCCUCAGCUGGUAGCAGAUCUUCCACUCUCCCUGUUCCCUGUGGAUAUGUCCAUUUGCCUUAGGUCGGUUCCUUUCUUGGUAGUGACAGUAUUGUGAUGUGCAUAAGGUACCCCAUUUAUUCUGAGCACACUGUUCUGUUCUCCCCAGUGGGCAUUGUUUCAUUCUAAGUAUACUAGGCUGGGAGACGCCUUGCAUGUGUCCUGCCUUAUUCUGCCCUCAAACAUUCCUUGAGGAGGUUAGCUUUCUGAUAACUUGUAAUGUGUGGUCCCACCUGGGGUAGCACUUCCACUGGUUGGAAUUCCCUGUUGUGGUCUUCCCCCUGCUGAAGCAGUAGCUGGGGAGCUGGUGGACAGUGCUGUAUCCAGGCAGGCAGUCUGAAUAGGAGUAGCCUGGGGAAAGACAGACUUGCGAAUUCUGUGGUGCUUGGGCGCCUGAAUCCAGUUGACACGGUGUUUUCUUUCCUUUUUCUCAGUCAAACCAGGUCAAGGUUUGGUGAGGUAAGCCUCAGCUUGGGUUGGAUGGUGCCCCACCAAAACUCAUGUGUCCUAUUUCUCUCUUUUCCCAUCCUCCCCCCAAAAGUUAGCAUUGAAAGACCAGAAGUGGCUUAGUCAGGUGAAGACUUGAGUGUCUUUGGUGUAUAUUUUCCCCUCCAGCACUGAGGGCUAGAGCUGUGGCAGAGCUAAGCUCCCAGGAGUGGGUAAGGUUUCCUGGGCAGGCGGAAGCCUCCAGGUUUAAUUUUGUUGUGAAGUUAAGAUUCUGGCUCCUUAAGGGUAGGUUUGGCCCCAUCUACCUACCCUUUUACUCGCUAGAGGCCAUCUCCUAUCUUUGUCCUUGGUUGGGAGUUAAUUUAGGGGUUCCUCAGCUAGACUCCCUGUGGCCCCAUAAAGGAGACUUGGCCUGAACUAGCCCUUUUGGUUUGGGUAGAGGGGAGUCUGGUCAGGCGUUUGGCAACGUGGCUCAGGAAUGCUGGGAAUGUCAGCAGCGUAGGCCUCUUUCUCCCAUCCUGCCAUGUGGAGUCCCACAGCCCACGCCUGGACAGAGAAGGUGGCAGGUUCCCAAGGGAGAGGUGGGGAGAACUGGUCUUUGAGGAGUUCUCUUGGGAAUGGGGUGGGGAGAUUCUUGCUGAUAUUCUUUCAGCUUCUGAAUAUAUAGUUUUAUUUUUGUCCCUCCCUCCCUAGUGAGCUGUAGUCUUUGCAUUUUUCACAGCAGUGUGAUUGUGAUGAGGUUGAUCUUUCCUCCCUUUGCUGGAGUUUGGAAAGCAGAAGGAUUUGGGAGGACUCUGACUUGGGUGUGGGAGAACUCCAAGUCUGGAACUUGGAGGGGCAGGACAGAAGAUCAGGAGUCCCUCACUGUUAGCAGUGUGGCUGUCCUGCUUUCUCUGGUUUUUGCUGUGGCGGAAAGAAAAAGUUCCAGGUUGCUUCUUUGAAAAGUCUUCUGAGGGACUGUUUUCUCCCAGUCUUGGCUUUGUUGGGAAGCUGCUUGGUUAGAUACUGAUCUGCUGAGUGGCUUUUAUUACUGUGUAGGGCUUGAGGUGGGCAAGCAAAGGGACCAGAAAUCUUGGGGGUCAGAGUGCAGGCAAAGUCUGGCACCUCCCAGAGUUGCCCAUUGUGACUGCUCUUCCUACUCUUUCCCCUUAGGAGUCAUACCCUGCUGUGCCCCCCAUCUGGUCGGUGGAAUCUGAUGACCCUAACUUGGCUGCUGUCUUGGAGAGGCUGGUGGACAUAAAGAAAGGGAAUACUCUGGUGAGGGGGCCAGGGGGUAGGAGCACACAUGUGUCUGUGAGGCCUGUGUCAUAAAGUCCCGGGCGAAAGGGCGCUGUAUAUGAAAAGUGGCCGAACAUGGUGGGGCAGACUUCCUAGGGGAGUUGUCUGAAGCCAGAGGUGAAUCCCAGUAGAGGCCAUCCUCUGCAGGAUUGGUGGACCAGGAACCAUUCCCACAGCCUGUGGUCCAUCGGGUUUAGAGAACUAGGUGCCGGUUUGGGAUGUGAGCUACAAGUUUAUCAGUGCAGCUGUCCAUAUUAGAGUGGGAAAGAAGUGUUUGAUAUCUCUGUGGUCCCCAACCCAGCUCUUGCAGCAUCUGAAGAGGAUCAUCUCCGACCUGUGUAAACUCUACAACCUCCCUCAGCAUCCUGAUGUGGAGAUGCUGGAUCAGCCCUUGCCAGCAGAGCAGGUGAGCAGCUAAAGGGCUUUAGGCUGUUGUACAGAGUUGUGCCACAGAGAGCACUCAACAAGUACGCGGUAACUGAGACAGAUCUGCAGUAGCCUCUCCCCACCCCCACCCACCCCCAAAUACACACACAUGUGACUUUCAGCCUCUUUUUUCUCUAGAUGGGAGUCUAGCUGAGUGGAACACUAGUAGCUUCAUCUCUCCUAUCGAACCCCCCUCUCCGGCAUCUGUUGCCAUCCCGGAGGUUGAGAAGGAGUGGAACUUUUACCAUUAUCUUAGAAGUAGCAGUUGGUGGCCACUGGGGACCCAGGCCCUUUCUUUCGAGCCAAGAAUACAGUAUCAGUCUAGAAAAGAUCAAGUAAAAGAGGGGUUCUUAGGAAAAUUAAGUGGGGUUUGCAAGGUGGGUGACAAGAAGAGCCAUUUUUCUUUUUUUAUUCCUUGGCAUAUGGUAGGAAGAAAAUGAUGGGCUGAUAGGGAAGUCAUCCCGGCUCUUGCUUCCACUGACUCUGGCUGUUGGAGAAACGGGGCGAGUGUAUAGCUUCCAGACCAGGAGGCUUAGGGGAGUAGGUCAGAGGCUGCACUCCACAGUCACUGGGGCUCUGAUCUCAUCUCCCUCCCCUCCCCACUGCAGUGCACACAGGAAGAAGUAUCUUCAGAAGAUGAAGACGAGGAGAUGCCUGAGGUAGGCUUGCAACCUGAGGUGGUGUUGGCAGGAAGCUGUUGCCGUCAGCGGCACUCAUCACCCACCAUAAACAGAGCUCCAGUCUAGAACUAGGGAGAGAGAAACAAUGUACUGAUCAGGAGGAAUGACCAGUGUAGUAGAGGAAACAGGCACCAUAUCCCCCCUCUGAAGGCAAUCAGGUGCAAAUAAAUACUCAAGUUAAUUUCAGAUGGCGUUGGAGGCUGACAGACUGAGUUUGCAUCCUGGCUAUCCUAACUAGGGAGGUACACCUAAUCUCACCAAGCUAGAUGGGAUUAUAAUACAUGCUGCAUAUGGUUGUCUUAAGAUUAAGUAAAAUAUUGUAUAUAAAGUAUUUUGUGAGUACUAAGUAACUUACGUAAUAUAUUCUUUAAAAACAUAGAUGCUUUUGCAGAAUACAGAGUAACGAUUAAGAAUUUGAGUUUCAGAUCUAGAUAGAACUUGAUCUAAUGUUUAGCUCUGCCAAGAGUUCUAUGACUUUGGGCAUGAGAAUUAAUAUCUUACUAGACUUAAGCUUCCUCAUUUGUAAAAUGGAGACAGCGAUUGAAUAACGUUUAAUAAUGGUUGUGAGGAUGAAAUGAUCUGGUGUGUAAUAAACAUUAAGUAGAUGUUAGCUGGUACUGUAAUAAUCAGGAGGUUAGUAUGUUCUGCCAGGUAAGACACUGAUCACUUUGUUUCAGAGCAUUGGAUUAAUGUCCCAAGUUCUAUAAGUCUGUAAAGGUCUUAAGACUGACAGACAGCUGGUGACACAUGAAAUUUACUCUUCCCAGACGGUGGACAGCCCUGUGUACCACACCCUGAACACCUGACUGAAAGGCUAACUCCUGGCGUCCUCCCCCUGUGAAUAGUGAACUACUUGUUCACUUAGAAUAGGUUGAAUAAAGAGCUAAUUCUGUUCUUAACUUCGGCUGCCUUCCUCUCUGGACCCCCUUUCUCAUUUCCAUCUUGUUAGUAGGUGCCUCUGCAAACCUGACUCAAGCCCUACAUUUGUAGGGAGAGGAGGAGAUGAAAUCCCAGAUUCUCCUCUGGACCUGAGGCCCUGAGGAUCCUGGGUACAUCAGUUCACCUGAUGAAACAUGAGCUUUCAGUGACAGUGUCGGGCCAAAGUCAUUCUGAUAGGAAUUGGGAAAGAGAAGGGGGGUUUUAGGGGCAGGUCAAGCAGGGUUGUCCUGGGGAGCAAAAGGCCAAGUCUUCGUAGGUCCUUACCUUAGCUCUGUGGCUGUAGAACUGGAGAAGAGAAGUGCCUGUCCUUCACAGGGUGGAGGGAUAGGGUUGGGAAGUGUUCUGGAAGCGAGGGGGGGUGUUGAGUGGUGGGACUGCUAGAUGACUGCUUCUCCUGGAGCUCCAGGCCAGGUGGGACUAGGAAGGUGACGGUCCUCAUUCACAGCCUUCUCCCUUUCCCCUCUGUUCCCCUCCCUCCCGCUCUGCCCAGGACACGGAAGACCUAGAUCACUAUGAAAUGAAAGAGGAAGAGCCAGCUGAGGGCAAGAAAUCCGAAGACGAUGGCAUCGGAAAAGAAAACCUGGCCAUCCUAGAGAAGAUCAAAAAGAACCAGAGGCAAGAUUACUUAAAUGUACGUGCCUCGUAGGGAGUGGCGGGGCACGAGGGAGGUGGGCACUACCUGGGGAGUGGUAGGCCGCAGCUCACAGCAUAGGGAGCUGCUCGCAUCUAAUCGUCCUCCAGACCCUGGGCAAGCAGUGGAGGUGUAACGUGUGUUUCCAGACUGGGACCAGAGAAUGUUCUGUUGUUUCUCCCUCACAGGGUGCAGUGUCUGGCUCGGUGCAGGCCACUGACCGGCUGAUGAAGGAGCUCAGGGAUAUAUACCGAUCACAGAGUUUCAAAGGCGGUGAGUUAGCUCCAGAGAGGGGCUUGCACGGGAGUUUCUCCUCGGGGUGGAUAUGGGAUAUGAUAUGAUAUGGUGCAGAAAGCCCCAGGGUUCGGGGUACAUGAGUAUUGACAAACUUGCGGUCAGGAACGGAGCACCUUAAAGCCAGUGGCUUGGCUUGGGUGUGCAUUCAUCUAGAGCAGACCUGGACCUUUGAUCUUUUUCCCUCGGUUUGUGAGAGGGAGCAGUCUGAGGGACCCCUCCCCGUCUGUACUGUCCUACUGACACUUCCCUUCCCCUUUUCUAGGAAACUAUGCAGUUGAACUCGUGAAUGACAGUCUAUACGAUUGGAAUGUCAAACUCCUCAAGUGAGUGGGGACUGGGGAGUCGGGAGCGGGGUGGGUGGAACACCUGGUGAUGUCUGGGCAGUCUCACUAGCAUGUUGGUUGCAGGGUCCCCAGAAGUGGGUGUGGGCAGUGGUAUGUGUAUCUGGGGCCGGCCGGGGCGCAGGGGAGGAGGGGGUUGGUGGGGAGCCCUUGUGAGGCUCUGCACUGGGACAAGGGUUUGAGCCCAGACUUGUUUCACAGAGUUGACCAGGACAGCGCUUUGCACAAUGAUCUCCAAAUCCUCAAAGAGAAGGAAGGAGCUGAUUUCAUCCUACUUAAUUUCUCCUUUAAGGUAAGCCUUCCCCCAGCUCUCCCUCCCUGGCCUGAGUUCCCUGUCUGCCUAAGUCUUGUGAGGAUGCCGGUCUCCUUCCCUGAAUGCUGCCUCUGUCUUUCUCAGGAUAACUUUCCCUUUGACCCACCGUUCGUCAGGGUUGUGUCUCCAGUCCUCUCUGGAGGGUGAGUGGCUGGGUCAGGGAGAGGGUGAAGCAGGGACUGGAAGCUCUUGCCAGGCCUGACUGACCGACCUUUCUCAUGCAGGUAUGUUCUGGGCGGAGGUGCCAUCUGCAUGGAACUUCUCACCAAGCAGGUGAGGCCCUUUCACUGUUGGCCCAAGAGCCUGGGUGGGGCCCGACAGCUGAGCUUCCUCCCCAUCCCAGCCUGGGCACAGGCGUCUGUGGCCCUGUUACCCUGCCACGUAGUGGCUGUCCUGGGAGGGAAGGGCACGGGCACUUCCAUAGAGAGGCACUGCCGCCUGGAGAAGAAGUGGAAGGUGUCUCCAGGAGCCCUGUCCUGACUCGCUCGCUUUGUCCCUGCUGUCCCCAGGGCUGGAGCAGUGCCUACUCCAUAGAGUCAGUGAUCAUGCAGAUCAGUGCCACACUGGUGAAGGGGAAAGCGCGAGUGCAGUUUGGAGCCAACAAAGUAAGGGGCCUGGCCUGGCGGGCUGGCUGGAGCCGAGUGCGUCGUGGCCCAGGCUGAGGGCAAAGGGGACACAGUCCCUGGGCUGCGAUGUUGGAGGAGAGGGCCUGGGGUGGCCACAGUGGGAACAGAGCAGGGCCUUAGCUGAGGGGUGUCCUCAGGGUUUGGGGGUUCAGGUCAGGAAAGGGAAGGCUGUGGGAUUGUGUCCCCAAGGGACCUCUCAGACAGAGGUCCUUAGCGUGCUACCAGGGUACCGCGCUGGCAGCCGGGCUUCCUGGGUCUCUGGGUGGCCGCCUGUGGAAGGGGAGGGGCAGUGAGCCACAGCUGGCGUGGCCUGACCGGUGGCUUCUCCCCCCAGUCUCAGUACAGUCUGACGAGAGCACAGCAGUCCUACAAGUCCUUGGUGCAGAUCCACGAAAAGAACGGUGAGGCCGGAGCCGGGCCCGGGGCUCUGGUGCUGGGCAACCCCAGGUUCUCACUCGGCCCGUAGCAAGGUCCCUCUGGGUUUCCGAGCCGUUCACCCACUCACCCACACCUGCCGGCUCUCCAGAGAAGGCCUGGAGGUGGUGUCGUGGGCAGUCUUGGUGCUGCCCUCUUCCUGACCACCCUUUGAAAGACUCUUCACCACCUCGGGUUGGGCUCUUCACUCUCCCUGUCCUUACAACCUCCAGGUAGGCAGCCUCCGCUUCCCUGUACCUCUCUUCUCGCACCUGGCAGCCUCCCUAGGACCUUCUUGCCUGGAGACGCUGCAGAUGUCCACGGUGACUGGGACAGGGAGGGCGCUCUGGGCCUGGACCUCGCUGACCUGGUGUGUUUCUUUGCAGGCUGGUACACACCCCCAAAGGAAGACGGCUAACCCUGGAGCGUCGCCCCUCCUCCUCCCCCAGGCACCACUGGACCAAUACCUUUGAAUGCUGUAUCUGGAUCUCACGCUGCCUCUGUGGUUCCCUCCCUCAUUUUUCCUGGACGUGAUAGCUCUGCCUAUUGCAGGACAAUGAUGGCUAUUCUAAACGCUAAGGAAAAAAAACAAAAAAACAAACAGAACUGUUUCAAGUACUCAAGACUGACUACAGACCAACAACCACCUUGCUGGAACCCUUGCUAGCAGGCAUUCUUAUAAAGAAACUCUCGAGCCUCCUUAUAUUGCUGGAAACUCAGCUGUGCUCCAGACUAGAGCCUCCUUACCUAUGCUAUGGAUUUUUAAUUUAUUUUCUCUUAUUUCAUGUACACUGCUUUUUUUGGUUACAGUGUAUGAUGGAUGUGUAUGAAAAAAAAAUGUAUCUUUGGGAAAACAAUUACAGUUUGUUAAUUUGAAGAUGCUGGUCUUGACUCAUCUUUAUUUUUAUUCCCACAUCCCACCCCACCCCCAUCCCCUGACUGCUUGGGAGGUGGGGGAGGGGUGCCAGGUCCACUGUGCUUUGGUAGCCAUGAGGCUGUGCUCCGCUAACCCAAGAAAUCUGGAGCUAAGCACCACCUGGCCCACCCCUAGGUUUCCCAAAGGCCCCUGCUGACUUACAGUGUAGCAGGCUGGUAUGAUGAACUUGAUUCUUAGGACUGCGUUUCACUUCUAGUUUCAGAGACUUUUCAAAUUUCUAAGAAAUAGAAAAUGUGGAGGCUCAAGAGGCUGCUUCAUAGAAAUCCUUUUAUGAGAACUGAGUGGGGCUGGGGCGCAGGCUCCUGCGUGUGUACGUGGUCUUUUCUAAUCACAGCCAUCCGCUGUCUAGCUACAACUCUGCAGUGUGCUUUGGCUCCUCUCCCUCCCAGAAAGUGGCUUCUGACUGGCCCUGGAUUGUGAUCAGUGGUAAGCUCUGCUCACCUUCCUCCUGUCUCCUGCUUCAUUUGGGGGUGUAGAAGAGAAAUGGCUCUUGAAGUAAGUUUGGCUGACUUGGAGAAUUGUGGACCCCUUCAAGUCAUUCUUGUAAGAUGCUGGUCCUACUAGAAACGGUUAGCUCUGAGGUGGGUUGUUGCAUGACCUGUGUCCUUACCCCAGGCGUGAGGAACUGCUGGGCCAGGAGGAAAGUGGGAGGAGUCUGUGGGGCUGGAGCAGGUGGUGCUGUGUUGUAUGUACUGCUGUUGUAAAAGUUUGGACAUGACUUUGCAUAUGGCGGGUGCUGCCUGUGUCUCCCUGUCAGGAAGCUUGCUUUGGGGCAGAGGCAGCUUUUGGGGGCUGACUGUGCCCACAGAGUGGGUAAAGAUUGAAAACAACAGAGGCCAGAAACAGCUAAGACAGACCCAAGUCUUAGGAAACCCAGAUCUGGGACGGCUGCCUGGGAACCUGUAGGAGGCCCGAGGAGCCCUGUGAUGCUUUAAGACACAGCAAUUUUAACUUGGCCAUUCUCCCCUCCCCCACCCCAUCCCGAGGGAUUCUAAUGUCUUGCUGCUUUAGGUGGAUGGAGAGUUCACCAAUCCCAUUCAAUGCUGCUCCAACUCUGCCCACACCCACCUGAUUAGGGGUGCUAAUACAUGCCGAGGUUGAGAUAAAGAGGGGACCUAAGGGGAAAAUUCAUUCCAUAGAGCUGAAAUCUGGUUUUCAAGGCCUCCGUGGCUUUCUUCUGAAUUUAUUACCAGCCCUGGCUGGAAUGUAGAUUGUGUUUUUAGUAAUGUGUACUGUGAGCUGUCCUCUGUAUAAUGUAUUUUGUAAUGUAUUUUUCUCAUCUACCAAAGGAUGAAACAAAUAAAAUUAUUUAAAUAGUUUGGCUCUAA
rnacentral:lncRNA from 1 species